rnacentral:rRNA from 1 species
GAUGAACGCUGGCGGCGUGCCUAAUACAUGCAAGUCGAGCGAACAGACGAGGAGCUUGCUCCUCUGACGUUAGCGGCGGACGGGUGAGUAACACGUGGAUAACCUACCUAUAAGACUGGGAUAACUUCGGGAAACCGGAGCUAAUACCGGAUAAUAUAUUGAACCGCAUGGUUCAAUAGUGAAAGACGGUUUUGCUGUCACUUAUAGAUGGAUCCGAGCCGCAUUAGCUAGUUGGUAAGGUAACGGCUUACCAAGGCAACGAUGCGUAGCCGACCUGAGAGGGUGAUCGGCCAAACUGGAACUGAGACACGUUCCAGACUCCUCGGGGAGGCAGCAGUAGGGAAUCUUCCGCAAUGGGCGAAAGCCUGACGGAGCAACGCCGCGUGAGUGAUGAAGGUCUUCGGAUCGUAAAACUCUGUUAUUAGGAAAGAACAAAUGUGUAAGUAACUAUGCACGUCUUGACGGUACCUAAUAAGAAAGCCACGGCUAACUACGU